GGGUUCUUGGGACCAGGGAGGGAGAUACAAUGCUGGAUGUUCUCACCCUGCCACUGUACAUAACUCCCGUGGUUUUUGCCCUUCCAGUUCUGGAGCCAGAGGCGGAUUUCGGGCAGUGUGAACGGUAUGGUCGCACCAGGCACAUAGCUGAGGAAUGUGCCUUCUCAAAGCUUGGUAAACACUUGCCUGGCUUGGGGAAUGAGGUGUGAGGGCUCUGGCAGGGUCCUAGAGCCCUCUGUCCUCCUUCCCAAAGCCAAGCAAGUCCUUAGCAGGCUUUGGGAAUACGGUAGGAGAGCUGGAGGACUCUGCCAGAGCCUCACUCCACCUUCCCAAAGCCCAGCUUAAACCAGUGCUGCGAGGGCUGGGGUGUGUGUGCCAAAUGGCCUCUAUAGGACAGCAUAUUACCGAGGUCUGCCCCUGCCACAACUCUUGUGUCAGUAAGACAGAAAAUGGGGAUGUUAUGGAAAGAAUCAUGGGCAUGCUGGGGGAAGUCAUGAGUCUGUUGAUUUCCCAAUCUCAUGGCAUUUCCCAAAACCAGGAUGAAAACUAAGCCAUUCCUGGAACUGGUGAAGUUUAUUCCAUUGUUCCCACUGAGAGGUGGGUCAUUAAGAAGAACGAAAGAACAUAUUCUCAGCUGAGCUGACUCCAUAAGAACAGUGGCUGUUAUCCUUUUUUUAGUCUUUUAUUUAAAAAAAUAUAGGUCAUUGUGUAUUCAUAAAACAGGAUGGACCAAGAGGUCAGAAGUCCAUGCAAAUAUAAUACAUUCAUUCAUCUCACAUAUGGUUCAAUAAUUCAUUUCUUUUCUAUUUUAAAAUACCAAGAUCUAGCUCGCUAGCAAGCAGGCAGGCAGGCAGGCAGGCAUAGUGCUGAGUUUCAACUCCAAACAAAAGAGCAUUUAAUUUCUGAGUUAUCUUCACCCUGCUCCUUCACAUAGCUUUUCUUAUCCACAAUUUUGGAAUGCUUGUUCCUUCAGGUCACAGUGGUGGAGAAGCACGGCUCGAGCGUUAUCACUGCAGCUUGCAAACCAAAACAGUAUUUAUCUUUGAAGUAUCCCUGAGAAGGGUCUUUAGCCUGAGUCCCCUUAAAGCCUUGCAGGACCAAUAAGGAUGCAUUUCUCCUUGCUUCAGUCUAGCUGGCUACAAGGUGGCCAGUCUCCUCUAUAGUUUGUUGCAAUCCCUUUGACCAUCUUGGUUGCCCUUUCCGGCAGCUCCCAGGCUGUCAAGGGCGUUAUGUGGUCCUUCAGUGCUAUAGCUUCCUAAAGGUAGGGUGCUACCUGGAAUGUCCGUCUGAGGCUGUUUCCAGUGAGCUUUUAAUUUAUCCCCAUCCUGAGCUGAGGUCCAUCACACGUUCUUCUUGCUUCUCCUCUUCCCAGAAGGGCUUACCAGACUUUGAUGCCAGGCCCAGUGGAUCUUGACUGGGGCUGAGCACACAUUCCUAACACUUCUGGUUUGGGAAAGAAUGUACAUUCAUUAGCUACAACCCAUAACUAUUCUGUAUCUAUCCUGUUGUUUCUCAUGAAAAUGCUGUGUUUUGAUUCAUUUCCCCCCUAAACCAGCUUCAAUCUGCAUUGAGAAAAAGAACAACCUAGAUGUGUCAUGAGCCAAUAGUGUAUACACAACCCCAGGAAUAUCUGAAUAUACACGUGUGUGUGUGUGUGUAUGUGUGUGUGUGUGUGUCAGGUCUACUGAAGAAAUGAGAACAUUGAUUUUCCUUUCAAAAAACAGGCUGUUUUUUUUUUUAAAAAAAGGUAUUUGCUCACAGUAAGAUUGUGGAGACCUAUAAUGUAGCACCAUUUGUUCUGCCUUUAGCAAAAUUUCAUGCUAAAUUUGUUCACCAUUGCAUUAGAAAUUGUGCUGCAAGGACAGAAAAUUUCCAGGCUUAAGCAAUGGACGGCUGGUGUGUGUGUGUAGCCAACACUUUGCAAAGGGCUGCACAUUGCUAUGGCCAAUGAUAUACUCCUAGUUCAGGGGCCUCAUUCAAAUGAAGACCCAACAAAUGGGAGCUUCAUAUAAUCCUCCCCCAACUUUUGGCAGCAGUGGUAAAAAGAAAAAAAUAGACCCAGUGUUACUUGACCCCAAUGCCCUGAUGGCAAUGCAAAUUAUUUUCUCCGUGUACGUCAAAGUGAUCAUGUGAUGAGCCCUUAGGCCACAACAACCCCAUCCUUUGCUGAUCUACAUGGAUUAGCUCAGGGGUCAGCAAGCUUACUGGACGACGGGCCAGUCCAUGCUCUGUCUGUCGGAGGAUGGGCUGGUGGCGUGUGCACAUGCUAUUUCCGGCACUCCUUCGACCUGGAUGUGCGCCAGAAAUAGCGUGUGUGCAUGUGCACGGGCACUUCUCCAUCCCGCACGCAUGUACACAUUCUAUUUCCAGCGCACAUCCGGGUCAGAGGAGAGCCCGUGCGCAUGCCAUCAGAGCGGAGGCGGGGGCGGGGGCGGGAGGGGUCGCCAUGGGCCAGCUAGAUGAGCCCCGUGGGCUGCUACCGGCCCAUGGGCCUUAGGUUGCCGACCCCUGGAUUAGCUAAACAGGGGGGUAUUUGUCUCUGUCUGUCUGUCUGUGUACAUGUGAGUGUGUGGUGUUGCCAACUAUUGCAGCCCAUGAGUUCAGGAGGCAAAAAUGCAGGGGUGGAGCCACAUCAGUUCAAAGCUUGGGAAUUUGGGAGGGCUUGGAGAAGACUGUGCCAACACAGAAUAGACCACAAAUCAGUUUCAAAAGCUCACAAUCAAAAAUAGUGCAUCAUUAAGAGUAAAGCAAACAACAAACAACAGCAAACUUGUUGUGAAUUUAUUAACCAAGAAACAGAUUAAGCCUAAGGAAAAGUAGUAGCUGUCAAAGAUACAGUUAAUUCAGGAUAUAUUUAUCCUGGCCCUGAAAAGAUAAUGAAUAAGUCCAUGGGCAAAUAGCUUCUGCCUGGAGACAGAAGUUGACAACUGGUAGAUUGCUAGUGGCAGAUGACAUGUAUUGGAGAAUUUCAUGUAUGGAAACAUACAUUCCUGCAAUUUGCAUGUUCAUCCAGGGUUAGGAACAGAAAUCACACAAGUAAAUAUGAGCAGUAUUGGCUGUUGUUUAUUUUCAGUCCACAAAUGUUCUGUAAAUAAUUAUGUUAUUUUAUGGCACUGAAAUUAAUUACCGUAUUUUUUGCUCUAUAAGACUCACUUUUUCCCUCCUAAAAAGUAAGGGGAAAUGUGUGUGCGUCUUAUGGAGCGAAUGCAGGCUGCGCAGCUAUCCCAGAAGCCAGAACAGCAAGAGGGAUUGCUGCUUUCACUGCGCAGCGAUCCCUCUUGCUGUUCUGGCUUCUGAGAUUCAGAAUAUUUUUUUUCUUGUUUUCCUCCUCCAAAAACUAGGUGCGUCUUGUGGUCUGGUGCAUCUUAUAGAGCAAAAAACACGGUACAUAACUAAAUAAUCACAUAAGUGUUGGAUGUAGUGGAUAGCGAAAUGAAAAACAUAGGUUAUAGCGCAAGGUGAACUGCAAUGGAACAGAAACAGCGCUGAUUGCUGUGAACCCAGGUUGGGCCAAAUCACUGCCUCCUUCCUUUCCUGGACAGGUGUAACAAUGUGAACGGAGUUCAGAAGCAAAACCAGCAAUAGUGUGGGAGGAGUCUGAAGGAGGGACAGGAAGCAGGGACGAGGGGAGAUGGAUCCAAGGCAAGGAGAGAACAGUAAGCCCAGUAACUGCUUUGUCAGAAAUGAUCUUAAUAGUGUAUGGUGUUUAUAAUGCACAUGACUAGCCUUGAUGGCUAUGAUCUGCCUCCACAGCUGGAUGCAGUAAUACUUCUGAAUGCUAGUUGCUGGAAACCACAGGAAGGGAGAGGACUCUUGUGCUUGAAUUCUGCUUGUCAGUUUCCCACAGGCAUCUGGCUGGCCACUGUGAGAAUGGGAUAAUGGAUUAGGUGGGCUGUUCAUUUGGCCUGAUCCUGCAGGGCUCUUCCUGUGUUCUUAUAUUUAGUUGUACAAACAGUGCCACAUGAAACAACGGGGAAGUACUGUCAGACAGGAGUGUUGCUAAGCCAACACAGUUGAUGCAGAGAAGAUGCAAACAAACAGAUAAUCUCCCAGCCUUUUAUUUAGCAGCUAUAAUGCUCUAAUUGCAUGCCAUGUUAUACCCAUAAAUUGACAAAAGCCUGCCGUUCAUUUAAAAAUAAAGGUACGCUCCUCUUGACGUGUGAGCAGAAUCCGGUAAAAUGUUAUGUUUGUAGUCUAGGAAUUUGUGCCUCUCUAAUUGGUGGGGAAACAAGAGAGCCUUUUAAUGCAUUUUUAAUAUAUAAAGAGGAAGGCUAUUUGAGCGUGACAAGGCCAGAUUGCCCUUAAUGAUGUGCUUCGGUACUUGGAAGCGACUCGCCAUGUUGGAGAAAUAGAUAAAAUAGCUGCCUUAAUCUGGGAGAAACACAAAAGGCUUGAAAAUGUCCUGAAUAAAGCUACUGAGCUGGGGUGGGGGAAAGAACACAGUGCACUGUAGGAGAGCCAGGCAGGAGCAUACCCCUUCCUGGGCCUUGUCCUACAAAGCUGGGAAGCAGUGCAUUGUGGGGUUAGUGAGCAGAAGAUGACAACCAUGGUUGGAGUUCUGGAAACCCCAGGAGGGGAGAGUGUUCACGUGCUCAAGUCCUGUUUGUGGGUAUCUCACAGGUAUCUGGGUGUCCACAGAAAGAAGGAUGCUGGGCCAGACGAGCCAUUGUCCAGAUUCAGCAGGCUCUUCUCAUGAUGUUCAGGGUCAAUUGGCUAGUGCUGAUGCCAUCACUGAUGAAGAGUGACAGAACUCUUAACUCUCUGGUCCCCCUCCCGGAGCCUGUUGUCCAUUGUGACUUGGACAGCAUCACUCAGCC
rnacentral:lncRNA from 1 species